AAUAAGUACAGCCGUGGGUAUCCGUGUCCAACAUUUGACCGUUCGUCUUAUUUGAAAAAUUUAUAAAAAAAUUAAAAAAAUAGUCACACAUAAAGUACUAUUCAUGUUUUAUCAUCUAAUAAUAAUAAAAAUACUAAUCAUAAAAAAAUUUCAAAUAAGACAAACGGUUAAACGUUGGACGUGAACAGU
rfam:Oryza sativa Japonica Group DNA, chromosome 2, cultivar: Nipponbare, complete sequence.